GACGAACGCUGGCGGCGUGCUUAACACAUGCAAGUCGAACGGUGAAGCGCCUUCCUUUUUGGUGGGUGUGGAUGAGUGGCGAACGGGUGAGUAACACGUGAGUAACCUGCCCCCUUCUUCUGGAUAACCGCAUGAAAGUGUGGCUAAUACGGGAUAUUCUGGGUCUGUCGCAUGAUGGGUCUGGGAAAGAUAUUGUUUCGGUGGGGGAUGGGCUCGCGGCCUAUCAGCUUGUUGGUGGGGUGAUGGCCUACCAAGGCGGUGACGGGUAGCCGGCCUGAGAGGGUGGACGGUCACACUGGGACUGAGACACGGCCCAGACUCCUACGGGAGGCAGCAGUGGGGAAUAUUGCACAAUGGGCGCAAGGCUGAUGCAGCGACGCCGCGUGAGGGAUGGAGGCCUUCGGGUUGUGAACCUCUUCCGCCAGUGAAGCAGGCCUGCCUCGUUUGUGGGUGGGUUGACGGUAGCUGGAUAAGAAGCGCCGGCUAACUACGUG
rnacentral:rRNA from 1 species